rnacentral:SRP_RNA from 1 species
GCUGAGUGUGGUGGUGGGCACCUGUAAUCCCAGCUACUUGGAGGCUGAGGCAGGAGAAUCGCUUGAACCCGGGAGGCAGAGGUUGCAGUGAGCCGAGAUUGAGCCACUGCACCCCAGCCUGAGUGAUAGAGCGAGACUCUGUCUCAA